rnacentral:tRNA from 1 species
GGAGAUUUAGCUCAAUGGUAGAGUGCUUGCCUAGCAAGCACAAGGCCCUGGGUUCGGUCCCCAGCUCUG